CAGGGUAUAGCUCGGUGGUAGAGUGUGUGCUUGGCAUGCACAGGGUCCUGAGUUCAAUCCCCAGUACUGUAA
rnacentral:tRNA from 1 species